CUCCUGGGAAGUCCUCGUGUUGCACCCCUCUCUUUUUCUUCGCGUUUUUUUUCGUUGGGGUUGUCGUCUCGCUCUGCACGCACCCCUUUGAUCUUCCCUGCAUUUAUUUUUUUUCUCGCUGGGCUUAUCGUGUACGUCGGUCCAGCACGCUCGCUUUGGAGGCUUAGCCCGCCCCAGGCCAAAAGCACGAGCCGCAGAUCUCGUUUUGGGUGCUAAAGCGUCGCGGGGACGUCGAAAUGCGCGGAAGCCCCUCGGGUUGCACCUCUCCGGCGUUAAGGUGCAUCGUUGCGUUCGGAUCCUUUUAUAAGAAUUAAACGCGCUUAUGCUGAUGGGUGCGAUCAAAGCAACACUAAUGCACCGGA
rnacentral:rRNA from 1 species